rnacentral:tRNA from 1 species
CCAAUUGGUAGAACAGCGGUCUCCAAAACCGAUGGCUGGGGGUUCGAGUCCCUCCACCC